GAUGAACGCUAGCGGUGUGCCUUAAGCAUGCAAGUCGAGCGCCCCGCCUUUGGCGGGGAGCGGCGGACGGCUGAGUAACACGUAGGUAGCUACCCUUUAGCGGGGGAUAGCCCGCCGAAAGGCGGGGUAAUCCCGCAUAAUCCCCGCCUUUGGCGGGGGAAAGAGCGUAACUGCUCACUGAAGGAGGCGCCUGCGGCCUAUCAGCUUGUUGGUAGGGUAAUGGCCUACCAAGGCAAAGACGGGUAGGGGGUGUGAGAGCGCGACCCCCCAGAAUGGGACUGAGACACGGCCCAUACACCUACGGGUGGCAGCAACUGGGAAUCUUGCGCUAUGGGCGAAAGCCUGACGCAGCGACACCGCGUGAAGGAUGAAGGCCUUCGGGUUGUAAACUUCUGUUAAAUAGCACCGGCUAACUACGUG
rnacentral:rRNA from 1 species